rnacentral:misc_RNA from 1 species
CUGAACGACUCAAUUCCUUCUCUCACCAUGGUGGGUUUUGGUUUGUGGACAGGGUGGUCUUCGUCAUCACCGAUGAACCAUUGCACUGACUCGGUGCGGCGGGGGCGGAGGAGGCGGGAGCGGCGGAGGAGGAAGGCGGCGGCGGCGAGGGCGGCGGAGGCGAAGGUGAGGUUUUGGAGAAGAGGGUUGUCUCUGGUGAGAAUGAAGAGGAGGAUGAGAGCGAAAAUGGGGAGUGG